UCCCGGGUAGCUCAGCCGGUAAAGAAUCUGCCUGUAAUGCAGGAGACUCUGGUUAGAUUCCUGGGUUGGGAA
rnacentral:tRNA from 1 species